rnacentral:lncRNA from 1 species
CGUCAUCGUCAUCGUCAUCGUCAUCGUCAUCGUCAUCGUCAUCGUCAUCGUCAUCGUCAUCGUCAUCGUCAUCGUCAUCGUCAUCGUCAUCGUCAUCGUCAUCGUCAUCGUCAUCGUCAUCGUCAUCGUCAUCGUCAUCGUCAUCGUCAUCGUCAUCGUCAUCGUCAUCGUCAUCGUCCUCGUCCUCGUCCUCGUCCUCGUCCUCGUCCUCGUCCUCGUCCUCGUCCUCGUCCUCGUCCUCUUCCCCGUCCUCGUCCUCGUCCUCGUCCUCGUCCUCGUCCUCGUCCUCGUCCUCGUCGUCUCGUCGUCGUCGUCGUCUCGUCGUCCUCGUCCACGUCGUCGUCGUCGUC